AGAGUUUGAUCCUGGCUCAGGACGAACGCUGGCGGCGUGCUUAACACAUGCAAGUCGAACGGUAAGGCCCUUCGGGGUACACGAGUGGCGAACGGGUGAGUAACACGUGGGUAAUCUGCCCUGCACAUCGGGAUAAGCCUGGGAAACUGGGUCUAAUACCGAAUAGGACCACAGGACACAUGUCCUGUGGUGGAAAGCUUUUGCGGUGUGGGAUGGGCCCGCGGCCUAUCAGCUUGUUGGUGGGGUGAUGGCCUACCAAGGCGACGACGGGUAGCCGGCCUGAGAGGGUGUCCGGCCACACUGGGACUGAGAUACGGCCCAGACUCCUACGGGAGGCAGCAGUGGGGAAUAUUGCACAAUGGGCGAAAGCCUGAUGCAGCGACGCCGCGUGGGGGAUGACGGCCUUCGGGUUGUAAACCUCUUUCACCAUCGACGAAGGUCCGGGUUUUCUCGGGCUGACGGUAGGUGGAGAAGAAGCACCGGCCAACUACGUGCCAGCAGCCGCGGUAAUACGUAGGGUGCGAGCGUUGUCCGGAAUUACUGGGCGUAAAGAGCUCGUAGGUGGUUUGUCGCGUUGUUCGUGAAAUCUCACGGCUUAACUGUGAGCGUGCGGGCGAUACGGGCAGACUUGAGUACUGCAGGGGAGACUGGAAUUCCUGGUGUAGCGGUGAAAUGCGUAGA
rnacentral:rRNA from 1 species